rnacentral:rRNA from 1 species
CAGCCGCGGUAAUUCCAGCUCCAAUAGCGUAUAUUAAAGUUGCUGCAGUUAAAAAGCUCGUAGUUGAAUUUCGGGACCACUAUGUCGGUCGUGCUUCGGUACGUACUGUCAUUAUUGGUUUCUCCCUUCUGAAGAACCUUGAUGUCAUUAAUUUGGUGUCUUGGGGAAUCAGGACUGUUACUUUGAAAAAAUUAGAGUGUUUAAAGCAGGCUCGCGCUUGAAUACAUUAGCAUGGAAUAAUGAAAUAGGACGUUUGAUUCUAUUUUGUUGGUUUCUAGGAUCGACGUAAUGAUUAAUAGGGAUAGUUGGGGGCAUUAGUAUUCAAUUGUCAGAGGUGAAAUUCUUGGAUUUAUUGAAGACUAACUACUGCGAAAGCAUUUUGCCAAGGAUGUUUUUCAUUAAUCUAAGAACGAAAGUUAGGGAGUCGAAGACGAUCAGAUACCGUCGUAGUCUUAACCUUAACCAUAAACUAUGCCGACUAGGGGAUCGGAUGAUGUUAAUUUUUAUAAUGACUCAUUUGGCACCUUACGGGAAAC